GAUGAACGCUGGCGGCGUGCCUAAUACGUGCAAGUCGAGCGAACGGACGAGAAGCUUGCUUCUCUGAUGUUAGCGGCGGACGGGUGAGUAACACGUGGAUAACCUACCUAUAAGACUGGGAUAACUUCGGGAAACCGGAGCUAAUACCGGAUAAUAUUUUGAACCGCAUGGUUCAAAAGUGAAAGACGGUCUUGCUGUCACUUAUAGAUGGAUCCGCGCUGCAUUAGCUAGUUGGUAAGGUAACGGCUUACCAAGGCAACGAUGCAUAGCCGACCUGAGAGGGUGAUCGGCCACACUGGAACUGAGACACGGUCCAGACUCCUACGGGAGGCAGCAGUAGGGAAUCUUCCGCAAUGGGCGAAAACCUGACGGAGCAACGCCGCGUGAGUGAUGAAGGUCUUCGGAUCGUAAAACUCUGUUAUUAGGGAAGAACAUAUGUGUAAGUAACUGUGCACAUCUUGACGGUACCUAAUCAGAAAGCCACGGCUAACUACGUG
rnacentral:rRNA from 1 species